UGUAUGAUUGCUGGGUCAUAUGGUAGCUCUGUAUUUAACCUUUUGAGGAACUGGAAAACUUUUUUCUAAAGUAAUUGCAUCAUUUGCAUUUCCACCAGCAAU
rnacentral:pre_miRNA from 1 species